GGGGGGGGGGGGGGGGGGGGGGGGGGGGGGCGGGGCGAGCGGGGGCGGGGGGGGUGGGGGCGGGGGGGGGCGGAGCGCGUGGGGACCUGCCCUUAGGUGCGGAAUAACUCCCGGGAGGGGGGGCUAGGACCGGAUAAUGUCUUCGGACCAAAGAUUUAUCGCCUUUGGAUGGGCCCGCGUUGGAUUAGCUAGUUGGUAGGGUAACAGCCUACCAAGGCGACGAUCCAUAGCUGGUCUGAGAGGAUGAUCAGCCACACUGGGACUGAGACGCGGCCCAGACUCCUGCGGGAGGCAGCAGUGGGGAAUAUUGGACAGUGGGCGGAAGCCUGAUCCAGCAAUGCCGCGUGAGUGAUGAAGGCCUUAGGGUUGUAAAGCGCUUUUACCCGGGAUGAUAAUGACAGUACCGGGAGAAUAAGCUCCGGCUAACUCCGUG
rnacentral:rRNA from 1 species